AAAGGCAGGGUGCUUGGUUUCACUUGGGACAUCCUCCAUGAUCGCCUCUGCUGCACCCACAAUUAGGUCUCCCAAGGGAGUUAGCAUGGUGGUGAAUGCCCACCAAAUCCCCGCCCACCAAGAGGGGGUGGGCAGGGCUUCAGCUCAGCAUUCUUGGAAGUUCCUCUGGUUCUGCCAUUCAAUGCUCUUGUGAUUCCUUGACUGCUUUCAGAAACUGCCAAGUUAUGAAAAGACGUUUUUUGUUUGGGGAAAGACUGAGUUCAUUGUGUGGGCUAUUUAAAGAUCAUGUGAAAUCAAUUUACAUGUUUAAUUAAAUGGCAUAAUUAGAGUUCAGCAAAAAAUGUAACUUCUUUUUAAAAUGAACACCCCCUCUCUGGGCUUGGGUGGUCGGCUCUUCAGAUGGCCGUGGCACAUACACGUCUGCACAUACACGUCUGCAUAUGCAUGCUGACACGUGUACGUGCCCCUUCAGCACCAAGGCGUCUGAUGGCCAUGGAAUCCCCCCUCCUUCUUCACGGAUGCAGGCGGCUGAGCAUCACUCUAGACUCGACUAGGGGACCCCCUGCUUCUGCCUGGGAGGCCUUACCAGGGCCCCAAACCUCUCCACUCCUGUCCUCUCUAAGGGGCCAUCUGCCAAGUGGAGCACGUCGUGGCCCUCCUGUACAAAGGACGCUGCGGCUUUCCCAGCCCCUGGCUUCUCGGUCAUCUCUGAGUGGGGCCUGGGGCUCCUAGCCACUCCUCCAGCGGUGACCAGAGAAGGCAGCCUGGUUCACCCAGGCUGGGCUCAGGGGCCCUUUGGCUGCCCUGGCCUUUCCCCUUGGUGGGCCUAGAUCCAUCCCAUGCUUCUCACACUGAAGAGGCUGGAGCCACACUUUCUCCUGGGGUGCUGGGGUCAUUGCGCCUGUUUACUGACCUCACUGGCCACCCUCAGGGGCAGAGCUGCCUCCAUUCGGUCAAGCCUCCAGGGCUCGGAGUCUCCCCUUCCCUGGAUCUCUGUGCCAGCCUCCUUCUCUUGCCAACCCCCAGUUCCCACCUGCCUCCUUGGGAGCCUCUGGUCCUCUUUCCUGGUCAUUCUGUCCCUUGGGUCCAGGAGCCCAAAUGAGCCCCAGAGCAGAGGAGAGGGAGCCCCCUUGAGACCCUGGAAGCAGCUUCUCUGAGGCUACAAGGAAGACCCCAUGCCUCUGGCCCCCAAUGCUUCCAGCAGAAAGCUAAGCAGCAAGCCCUCACCUCUGAGCUGCCCUGCCUGGCCUCCCUGGUGGGGGGGAGGGGGCUUCCUGAACUCUGACCAGCAGCUUAGUGCCUCAUCUGCCUGGCCUCCCUGGUGGGGGGGAGGGGGCUUCCUGAACCCUGACCAGAGCUUGGUGCCUCACCUGCCUGGCAGGGCUCUUGCAGAUGGGAUCCCCAGCUUGGGGUCUGGCUUUAGGGAGCCCAGCCUUCUCCAGCAACCUCAGACAGCCUUGUCUAGAAGAGUUCAGAGCCUGUUGCUCAGGCCUCCCAGCCUCUUUCAUGGGGCUGGUUCACUAGGUCCCAGCUGCUGACCACCUUCUUCCACCAUGUCCCUUAUGGUGCUCAGAAGUGUUCAGAAUUCUGACUUGGGUUCUGGGUUCUGGUGCAGACAAGCAUCAGUGCCAACAGACAUCCACAGUGACCUAUCUCCCCAGGUAGCGCCAGAGUGUCCCCAUAAACUGGGCACUGUGUCAGUUCACUGGCACCGAGUGCCCCCUUGGCACACUGAGGAGAAGCCCAUCCUGGGGGAUGAGGGGAUGACCUUAAACCUUGGAGACUUCAAACAAAGAAAGAGCAAGAAGCACAACCUGGGUCUCAUUGAGACAUGCAUCUCAUGGCAAGGUUUUGCCUCCAUGGUGGGGCCCAGAGCUCAGUCUUGGGGACUGUCUUUGCCCUUUCAGUAUCUUAUUCUGGCCUCCAGGGUAGGCCCAAGCUCUAGCUCCAGGGAUAGGGGUGGAGAGUCAUGUUCUAGCUCCAGGGAUGGGAAUUGAGCUCCAUGGUCUAUCUCCAGGAUGGGACCAAGCUCUAUGGUUUGGUUCCAGGGAUGGGAACGAGCUCCAUGUUCUAGCUCCAGUGACAGGAGCCAAUCUCUGUGGUCUAGCUCCAGGAAUGGGGGUCAAGCUCCAUGGUCUAUCUCCAGAGGGACCAAGCUCCAUGUUCUAGCUCCAGGAAUGGGAUUUGAGGUCCAUGGUCUUUCUCCAGAAUGGGACCAAGCUCCAUGUUCUAGAUCCAGGGAUGGGGGCCAAGCUCUAUCUUCAGGGAUGGGACUGAGCUCUAUCUUCUAGUUCUGGAGACAGGAGUCGAGCUUCAUGGUCUAUCUCCAGGAUGGGGCGAAGCUCGAUGUUCUAGCUCCAGGGAUGGGAGCUGAGCUCUAGCUUCAGGGAUGAGUCUGAGCUCCAUGGUCUAGCUCCAGCCUCUCUUCUCAAGGAGCCUCGGGUUCUGGAGUCCAGCCUCCAGCUUCUCCCAACUCACACUCUCUGCUCUAGCCAGGCCAUCUUGCUUCCUGCCCUUGCCAGGUCACACUCAUCUCUGCUUUUUAUUUAUUUACACGGUUCCCUCUGGCUGAAAUUCUCUCCUCUUGCCCCAGAUCUGCUCAAAGUCUCCCUUCCUAGGAAGCCUUCCCUGGAUGCUCGAGCUCUGACUGUGCUGGGCUCCCCUACAACCUGUCCUCAGGCCCCCCUCAGGCCUUCAGGAGGGAAAAGAGUCCCUGACUCCCAAGUGCACAGGGAUGAGGUGGAGGGGAACUAGCAGCUCUGGGAGGGUCAUCCUAGGAGACUUGGGACUCAAUCAUCAGGAAAGGUGGUUGGGUGGGGCCCCUAGAAGGAACUACCUACAUCUGCCACAGCUCUGGGUUCACUGACCUUAUCCAACUGCUUUCCUCACAAAGGCACCCUCUGAACCACAGCAUUACCCUAGAGAUGCCCUUUGGGGCUACACCUCCUUUUUCAGGGGCCCCUAGAAUCAGAGCCUGUCAGAGUGGGAAAGGACCCUGUAGGUCACUGGGCAUAGCCCCUUUGUUUUCUCAAGAAGUACUGGAAGGCAGAGGCCUUUGCCCAGUCUUGCUGACCCAACCUUCACAAUGUCUCUUGAAUCCAACACCUUCUCUCCACUCCUAGGGCCACCAGCCUCCAUCAUCCUGUCACCCCUCACCUGGGCUGGUCUAAUAAUUUCCUGCUCCUCCAAGGCAUCCUCUACAGAGCUGCAGAUUGAAUCUUCCUAAGACCUGGCUCUGACCAAGUCAUUCCUGGGCUCAAAGUGCUGUAAGGGAUCACUACUGCCUCCAGGAUCAAAUACUGCGUUCUUUGGCCCUUAGAGUCCUCCACAGUCUGGAUCCAGCUGUCCUUUCUAGUACAUGGUCUGUGAACUCUUUCGUUUUCCGCUGCUGGUUCAACUCCUUCAACAUUUCUGCAGAACAGAGAAGACAGACAGGCCAGGUCCCAUUAAGUGUGGCACCACCUUCCUCUUUGAGCACAAAGGAGAAACAGCAACAGCAGAGGCAGGUCCUCGGGAUCUCUCACCUGGACUCCGUAUCAGCCUCCUAACUGGUCUCUCCCGUCUUUCCCCUCUCUGUUCAUCCUCCACAAGCUGCCACGAUGAAUGCCCUAAGCCACAAGUCUCACCUCCUCAUCCCUUCCCUCAAAUCCUUCAGAAGCUCCUGGGGAGAAGUGACUUGCCCAGGGUCACACAGCUAGAGGUUUCCUGAAACCCUGUGAGAAAAAACCAAAACAUGUCUUCAGACGUCCAUGCCACUCCAGACACACCAGCUAAACCUGUCUCCUUCCUGCACGAAGUUUUGGCUUAGUACUGGGAAGAAAUACAAACACCUUGGCCUGGCCUUCAAUGCCCUACACAAUUUAGCGAUCGUCCACCUGUCUAAGCUGAAGCGCAUUAUUGCCCCUCACAAAGGUGUCUAUUGAUAUGCCAUCCCCCAUCCCCACACCUUUGCCCAGGCUGUCUGUCCUAAGCCCUGCCUGUGCCUUCUACAGGAGGACUUUCCUGAUGCUCCCAAUGGCUAGUGCCUUCCCUCAUUCUGCUGACCUUGUACCUGGACUUGCUAAUUCACCUGGUGUCCUCCCAAUGGAAGGUAAGCCCCCUGAGGGCAGUGCCCAGAGACAAUUCAUGGUAAAGCACUUUGUAAGCCUGGAAAUGCUGAUAAAUGCUGGCCUGGUUAUGGGGGAGGUGCUUGACUAAAGCUUGUGGAAUUGAACUGAAUUUGGAACUGGUUUUGUGUGUUUUUGAAGGGGUGGUCCUAAUGCUAUUUGUGAAGGCUGAUUCUACCCCUGUCCCCAUUGUCGGAGUCAGACCCCUGAGGGCAGAGGGCCAGGGGACUCGUAGGCUGGGACCAUGCAUGCCUUGAUGGGCUUGUGCCACUCUCCCACCCCCCCCAAAAAGAGGCCAUUGAUUUGGAUGGCCGCUGAGGUCCACGGCAGCUCUCCGGAAGGGGGCUGAAUGUUUGAGCUGUGACUCCAAAUGGGCAGGGAGUCCCUGCACCAGUCAGAGGACAUGGGUUCAAAUCCUGCCUGUAGAUUUAUAUGACCUCUGAGGAUCUGAGCUGCAUGGUGUGAAACAUGGGGGUUGGAAUACUAGGGGCUCGCUAAGUGGCACCAUAGUGCCCAGAGCACCAGACCUGGAGUUGGGAAGGGCAGAGUUCCAAUCCAGCCUCAGACAAUGUAGACCCCUCCCCCAACCAUUCUGAACCCCAAAGACCUGAGAAAGGCCCAAGACGUGGACUGGCCAUCAGGAGGACAUUCGGCCUACUCUGAGCUUCACCUACCAUGAUGCCUUGAAUGCUCUGGUAUAGCAGAUAUGCCUUGCUCUGCUCUCUGAGGGAACCCCAAAUGCCCCUUCCUGUGUCAGCAACUACAGGGCCGGACGAGGCUGACCAGGAGCCAUCCUCUCUUUAUGACCACUGAGGACAGGGCACCUGGAAUGGACGCUGUCUUGAAUAGUGGGACUUUUCUUAUCUUGAUAUUUUAUGGACACAUGCUACGGUUCUGUGGAUGAUGGGGAAACACAGAUGUCCUGGCUCCAUACUUUCGAUGGACAUUCUUACUGUGUUGACAUUCUACCCAAUGAAGAAAUUCCUUUCUCAUGUCAUGGUUAACGUGUCCAGAGACCAUGAUUUUGGCUGACAUGGGCCUCCUGAGCCAGGAAGGGAAGGAGGGUGAGAGACCGCUCGGAGGAUAUAAGGUGCCCUUUGUCCGUCCAUCUUUGGGUUCGUGGUCUACAAUGAGCUUCCGUGCAUAUCUUCAUACCCAUGUUCUGCCAGCUUUGAGACAAAUAAACGCGCCCACGCAGACUAAUUUCAUUUGUCUUUCCAAGAACAAACUUGGUAAUGGUUGACAAUGCUGACUUGCCCGGUGUCUCUGGGCAGAUCACUUAGCCUCUGUCUGCCUCAGUUUCCUCGGUGGUAGAAGGGGUUAAUGAGAGCUCCCAGGCUGAUGUGCCUGCCGUAGAGCCCCCUACUCUGCCCCAGGGAAGCCGGGUUUCAUUAGUUUCCCACCUGCAACUUGGAACAUCACAGAUUGCCCACCUCUGGCCAUCCUCAGAGGAAGGAAGAGUCAGAUUCUUAGUUUUCUAAAAAACUGAAGAAAUCGAUAUUCUGCUCCAUGCAUUUAAAUCCUGCUCAUUAAGCAGGCAUCCAGGAGCUCGCUUCUGCCUCUGUGAGUCAGAGAGA